rnacentral:rRNA from 1 species
UGGGGAAUAUUGGACAAUGGGGGAAACCCUGAUCCAGCCAUGCCGCGUGCGUGAAGAAGGCCCUAGGGUUGUAAAGCGCUUUCACCGAUGAAGAUGAUGACGGUAAUCGGAGAAGAAGCACCGGCUAACUUCGUGCCAGCAGCCGCGGUAAUACGAAGGGUGCAAGCGUUGUUCGGAAUUACUGGGCGUAAAGGGCGUGUAGGCGGCUCGUUUAGUUAGAUGUGAAAGCCCAGGGCUCAACCUUGGAACUGCAUUUAAUACUGGCGAGCUAGAAUCCAGGAGGGGACAGUGGAAUUCCGAGUGUAGAGGUGAAAUUCGUAGAUAUUCGGAAGAACACCAGUGGCGAAGGCGACUGUCUGGACUGGUAUUGACGCUGAGGCGCGAAAGCGUGGGGAGCAAACAGGAUUAGAUACCCCCGUAGUCC